GGCAGAUGGGUGUGGGGCAGGAGGCCAUCCUGACUCGCUGCCGUGGCCUCGCAGUCCUGGAGCGCUGGUGGGGGACCAAGCGGAUCGACUACUCGCUGUACUGCCCCGAGGCGCUCACCGCCUUUCCCACGGUCACGCUGCCCCACCUCUUCCACGCCAGCUACUGGGAGUCCGCCGACGUGGUGGCGUUCAUCCUGCGCCAGGUGAUCGAGAAGGAGCGGCCACAGCUGGCGGAAUGCGAGGAGCCGUCCAUCUACAGCCCGGCCUUCCCCAGGGAGAAGUGGCAGCGAAAACGCACGCAGGUCAAGAUCCGGAACGUCACUUCCAACCACCGGGCGAGCGACACGGUGGUGUGCGAAGGCCGCCCCCAGGUGCUAAG
rnacentral:sRNA from 1 species